rnacentral:rRNA from 1 species
AUUGAACGCUGGCGGCAGGCCUAACACAUGCAAGUCGAGCGGAUGAAGGGAGCUUGCUCCUGGAUUCAGCGGCGGACGGGUGAGUAAUGCCUAGGAAUCUGCCUGGUAGUGGGGGAUAACGUCCGGAAACGGGCGCUAAUACCGCAUACGUCCUGCGGGAGAAAGUGGGGGAUCUUCGGACCUCACGCUAUCAGAUGAGCCUAGGUCGGAUUAGCUAGUUUGUGGGGUAAAGGCCUACCAAGGCGACGAUCCGUAACUGGUCUGAGAGGAUGAUCAGUCACACUGGAACUGAGACACGGUCCAGACUCCUACGGGAGGCAGCAGUGGGGAAUAUUGGACAAUGGGCGAAAGCCUGAUCCAGCCAUGCCGCGUGUGUGAAGAAGGUCUUCGGAUUGUAAAGCACUUUAAGUUGGGAGGAAGGGCAGUAAGUUAAUACCUUGCUGUUUUGACGUUACCAACAGAAUAAGCACCGGCUAACUUCGUG